rnacentral:rRNA from 1 species
CUCUAAGAGCAUGCUUAGUACGGCGAGUGAGCGGCAAAAGCUCAAAUUUGAAAUCUGGCACCUUCGGUGUCCGAGUUGUAAUUUGAAGAAGGUAACUUUGGAGUUGGCUCUUGUCUAUGUUCCUUGGAACAGGACGUCACAGAGGGUGAGAAUCCCGUGCGAUGAGAUGCCCAAUUCUAUGUAAAGUGCUUUCGAAGAGUCGAGUUGUUUGGGAAUGCAGCUCUAAGUGGGUGGUAAAUUCCAUCUAAAGCUAAAUAUUGGCGAGAGACCGAUAGCGAACAAGUACAGUGAUGGAAAGAUGAAAAGAACUUUGAAAAGAGAGUGAAAAAGUACGUGAAAUUGUUGAAAGGGAAGGGCUUGAGAUCAGACUUGGUAUUUUGCGAUCCUUUCCUUCUUGGUUGGGUUCCUCGCAGCUUACUGGGCCAGCAUCGGUUUGGAUGGUAGGAUAAUGACUAAGGAAUGUGGCUCUACUUCGGUGGAGUGUUAUAGCCUUGGUUGAUACUGCCUGUCUAGACCGAGGACUGCGUCUUUUGACUAGGAUGUUGGCAUAAUGAUCUUAAGCCACCCGUCUGAACACCCGGACCAAAACAAAAAAGAAAAAAAAUUAAGUAA